GAUGAACGCUAGCGGCAGGCUUAACACAUGCAAGUCGAGGGGUAUAGUAGCAAUACUAGAGACCGGCGCACGGGUGCGUAACGCGUAUGCAACCUACCUUUUACAGAGGGAUAGCCCCAGAGAAAUUUGGAUUAAUACCUCAUAGUGUUAUUAGAUGGCAUCAUUUGAUAACUAAAGUUCCAACGGUAAAGAUGGGCAUGCGUCCUAUUAGCUAGAUGGUAAGGUAACGGCUUACCAUGGCUACGAUAGGUAGGGGUCCUGAGAGGGAGAUCCCCCANACUGGUACUGAGACACGGACCAGACUCCUACGGGAGGCAGCAGUGAGGAAUAUUGGACAAUGGGCGCAAGCCUGAUCCAGCCAUGCCGCGUGCAGGAAGAAGCAUCUAAUGGGUGUGU
rnacentral:rRNA from 1 species